rnacentral:rRNA from 1 species
AGAGACUGCAAGCGUUAUUCGGAUUCACUGGGCGUAAAGGGUGCGCAGGCGGUUGGGUGUGUCAGAUGUGAAAUCCCGAGGCUUAACCUCGGAACUGCGUCUGAAACUACUCGACUAGAGUACUGGAGAGGGUAACGGAAUUCACGGUGUAGCAGUGAAAUGCGUAGAUAUCGUGAGGAACACCAGAGGCGAAGGCGGUUACCUGGACAGUUACUGACGCUCAGGCACGAAAGCAUGGGGAGCAAAAGGGAUUAGAUACCCCUGUAGUCCAUGCCCUAAACGGUGCACACUAGGUCUUGGCGGAUUCGACCCCACCAGGGCCCAAGCUAACGCGUUAAGUGUGCCGCCUGAGGACUACGGUCGCAAGACUA